CCUCCCAGUUCAUAGGUCGACACUCAACCACUGAGCCACGCUGGCUGGGCAAGUCAGGGAAUUUUACAUGAAAGUACAAAUAUCGAAAUUCUCUUGAAAAAUGGGAUCAUCUGAUCAUUUGGGCUGCAUUUCUGGAAGGCAGCAGUUAGCUAGAACCGAAGAACAGCAGCCUCCUUUAGACAGGACAUGGGUAUCUCUAUUUCCCCAUAAUUCCCCCUGACUUCUAUCGACGUAUAGUUCGGUGUAGAAGCUUCUAAAACAAAUAUGCUCUCUUGCAGGGCCUGGGGGAGUCCGGAAUGUUCCUGGGGUCAUCUGUAUUCUUUGCCAUCACUGAUGCUGUGGCCGCCGCACGCAGAGAGAGAGACAUAGCCGAAGACUUCACAGUGAAGAGCCCAGCAACCCCUGAGUGGGUCCGGAUGGCCUGUGCAGACCGGUUCACAGAGAUGAUCCCAAGAGAUGACCCUAAGACAUUUAGACCUUGGUCUAUCCCCAUAGCAUAGCACUGCUGUCACUUUUCUGAAAGGUGCUUCAGUUUUCUACAAGUGAAAAGAUGGCUUGUUAAUCCUAACUGGACUCCACACUGAUAUUCUUAUAGUGAUGUGAAGAAGAAAAAAUGACACAAAACUUAGAAACAUUAUUCAAGUCUGAUUACCUUGACAAAAUGAAUCAUUAUUUACUAAUCAUUAAUUUAGACUUUCUGGCCUAGAGGCCACCAGACAACCACUGGGAUAGUCACAAACAGCAAUCAAUUUUAAUGCUAAGUUGUUUCUGACAGCAUCACGUCAAUAUUGCUGUAAAAGCAAAUCUUUCCUUUGUGUUUAUCCAGUAUCAUUGGACUGUAAUGCAGGCUACAAUCCUAGAAUGAAAGACACUUCGCAGUAGAUAAGCAUGUGAUUACUUUCCCCAGGGAUGUGUUUGAUUCAGUGGCCACAGGUAGGGACACCACAGAGUUCUACAAGGUUUGAUUUUAUUUUGUUUUUACUGUGGAUUAGCUAUGGGUCCGUGUAUGUGCAUUUGACAGCAAAGCAGUUGUAUUUUCCUCAUUGUAGAUGAGUUAUUCAACUGGUUGAUAUUCUUUUGGAAUUUGGAGGGCAAAAGCAUUGUAAAAAUCGUUUUUAAUGUAGUAUCAUAAAACCUUUUUA